ensembl:rRNA 5S_rRNA 5S ribosomal RNA
UCCUAUGGCCAUAUUACCCUGAACACACCCAAUCUCAUCUGAUCUCAGAAGCUAAGCAGGUUGGGGCCUGGUUAGUACUUGGAUGGGAGACUGCUUGGGAAUGCCACGUGCUGUAGGGG